AGGUGGUGAGGAGCCCUUGGGUCAGACAAAGACAUCUGCUAGGAAUGCCAUCAAUACAAAGCAUAGGUAGAAAUGUGCAGAGGCCUACUACAUGAGCUUAAGGAAGGGUUGCUGUUAACGAGAGUCAGUCCCUGAGUGUGGAAUUGUGAAGAUGAAAGAGAGAGGAAGGGAGGAGGGAGUGCCACAAGAGUAUGCUGCUAUUCAGUGCAUUUAAACAGUUUCAGAGAACAUAGAUGAUGGAAUCGAGUGCACCUUCAGCAAGUCUGCAGACAACACCAAGCUGAGCGGUGCAGUCGAUCCAUUGGAGGAAAGAUACCUGAUGUAUUACUUCAGCAGCAAAUUCAACAAGGCCAAGAUGUCUUCAUUUUCCUCCAGAGCAAGAGCUGUAUGAGCAGUGUGAUGGAAGUAUUGGUCUUCUGUGGCCAGCCGGCGAGAACCCAUCAACAGCUGUGAUGAGCAGAGCAGACACGGAGAGACAGGAGGCAGCUGAAGCCAAAGAGGACCCACGCCUGAAGCUGUGUGUGUGUGACUGGAGCAGAGAGAGGCCAGGACCCAAGGAAAUCCCAGCAGCAAGGGAAAAAAACAGAUUGACUCUCAGUGACUCAUUUAGCUCCUGGAUUGGACAGAUCUCUCCCCUGCUGGCAAUUUGGCUGAGCAUCAAUGGACAGAUACCAGGAUGAAUAGCUUAAAAUAAUUAGGGGUUGGGAAUAUGCAAAACUGCUAGCCAUCCAAUUCUUUACUCUGCAAUGUGAGGCACAAAAAAGAAAUUACAUUUAGGUUAUUAAAUAUUAAGUCAGUGGAUUUGCCUCCAUUUGGUCCAGAACAGGAAACUGGAUAAAAUUCAACAUUUAUUUCAUUGUGUUGAUGGCCUGUUUAUCACUGAGCGGAAAAGAACAGAGGAAUUUGACAAAUGAUGGCAAUUGAGACUUCAUGAUUUAAGAACAGCAUCUCAAGCAGUUGCUCUGAAGUGGUUCUCCAUGUGAAAUGAGGAUGCCGCAUGCUUAUCAGUGGUGAUACAGGUAUAUGGCUACAGAUGCCUUGCCCCUCAAAAGCUUCGUGUUUGCCAGAGUCAGGGAUGAAGAACACCAGGUAAGAAAGCAGAGGACAUAAAAAAAUGAGCCUCUAGUAGUAACAAUAACCUCAGUUGUACAUUCAAAAACUGACCUUUUUUUAAAGUGUUCUCCAGAUGUAGAGAAGUGCGGUGGCCUUAUUCUUGUUAUUUGGGGUAGAGAAGUGGGGCUGCUGAGGCUUUGAGGAAAAGGCAGUUGUGAAGCUGCUUUGCAUGCACCUCUGCGCUGAGCAGUAUCUCUUAUCACAGCAGUCCCACAUCCUGCUCCUUCCAAACAGAUCCUCUUUGUUUUCUGACACUUGCUGGUUGGCUAAAAAGUAACUACCUGUCAGGGGCAAGAGUUUAGACUGAAAUGCCAAUUUUUAACCUAUAAGGGCAGCGAGAAAUUGUUCUUCAGUAACGAAGUUGGUCUUGCUCUAUAAUCUCUUGCCCCAUGAAAAGAUAAACAGUCCAAAAAGGAGCCCCCGGGCAUUCAUUUGUCCUCAGUGCCUUGAAAUAUCACUUGAGGCACAGUAACUGGAAAGUUAAAAUUCAAAUUCACAAAGAGAAAAAAAAAAGUUGUUCACAAAGUGUUUGUUGCUCUUUACUGUUUUGCCUACAUCUAGUUGAGAGGGAAACACAGUUCGUGUUUUCUACUCUUUCUGCCAUAAAGUUCUGUGUGCAAACUGGAGACUGCACAGAAACUAACUAGGGCAAACCAGAAGCACUAUGGAAACAUCAUGUACAAUCCACGUGGGCAAGACCCAGGGCUGGGCCUCUGCUCUGUGCUCUGUUCUGUGAAUUUUGAUACACCAGAUUUAGAAUUUGCACUGCACAAUGUUUUGGGUACAUCUUUUAAGAAAUGAUUGCAAAAAUACUUCUGUGAUCUUAAAGCCCCGAAGUCUGAUGGUGAUCCAGACUUUGCAGCCACGAGCCCUGAUCAAGACAUUCCACCCAGGCUUGUCAAACAUUAGUUCCACAGCCAAGUGGCUCAGGUUUAUCAGGAACGCUUUCUUGAAACAAUAGUAUUUGGGAUACUUUUCAGGUAGCUGCUGACCUAAAUCGAAUUUUCCAGAUUCCUUCCAGAAUGGCCGCUGUAAAAAACAGUCUGCUUUUCCCACGCACAUCAUAGUACUUUUUCAGCCAAAAAUUAUCUCUGGUCCUGAUAGGUGAUCAUAACUCAGAAGUAGGCAGACAACAGAAAUUCUGUUUUGAAUGCAAAAUUACUUUAACAGAUUUAUAAAGCAGGUGUGUUACCCAAAGUAAGAGUGCAGGAGGGAGGGCCUGCUGAAAGUGUUUAAAAUGUAUGAAGUAUUAAUUAUUUUGUGUUGUCUGCUGCAAGAUAAGUCCAUGCUUGGUAAGCUAUCUAAACAGUGUUUUUUUUACUACACAUGUUUGUUAUGUUUUGGUUUUAAUUUGCAGUGACACAAAAUCUUGCAUAACCAAGUUGAGUGCAUCUUUGAAUAUUAAAAAUACUAAUUAUUAUGUAAUUAGUCAACAGGAUGUGUGUAAUUGUGUAAUACCAGAAUUCCUGGGUGUGGUAAGAACGUAGGUAGAAUGCCAACACUCAUCUAGACGCAGUAUUGUAAAAUUACACAACAUAUACCCUGGGCGGGUACUGUAAUUGUAUUUUACAUUUAAGCAAUGGCUACGUUAAGAAAACAGGACUUAUCUUUUUUAAAAAGAAUAUCUUCCCACUGGCAUGAGUCUUAGUAAAUUAUGAUGAUAAUAAUGUCCAAAUAGGGUGUCUUCCAUCUGCCAGGGGACCUGGCCUUCUUCAUAAAUAUAUAAAUAGGAGAUUGGAACCACCCCAGAAUGGACAUGUGACAAUUGCUGAAUCAUGCAAAGGUGUAAUCAAAUGUGGAAAAUGUACAGGAAGAACUUUCUAUCUCAUGAAAAGUCAUGUGAGAUUAAGCAGAAAUCUGAGUAGAAAUGAUAUUAUUUCUAUAAUUUAAUAGACAUGAAUGCCAUCCUUAAACCAUGGUGGAAACAGAACUAUACAAUGAAUCAGAUUCUUCUUUGGACUUACCCAUGAAGAUCUAGGUUACAGUCAUAAAAUGUACUGAAUGUUUUAGUUGCCUAUUACCCAUGCUAAGAUUUGUUGCCAAUAUAGCACAAAAAUCUUCUGUACUCAUGGCCAACACUCCCCAACACACACCUAGUGAUCACUUAUCCCUCCUAUGGUACAUCUGUGGUCACUGACAGGCACGCACUUCACUGGGGCCAGCACUAAGUGGUGGUGAGCUCUACAGUAUGGACAGACAAGGAGGAUUGUUCUUUUACAUGGGUCAGCACUUCUCUCUUUUGAUAUAGAUUCACAGUGGAAAAUGCAAGAAAAGAACGGAAAGGUGAAAAUUCUAACAGCAAAUUAAAAUGACUAGGCUCUUACUCAUUAUAAAUGUAAAAUACUGGAGCCUAAAGCUGGGUUUUUUCCACGUGCCUGGGUGGAAAAGGGUGAGGUGCCCUGUGAGGAUGAUUUUAUCUUUUACUUUUGAGUCUGAAGAUCUUCGAUGUGGUUUGCAAGUUCAUAAAAAUAUUUGUGAUAAAGUUGAACUGCUGUCUGGAAAUGUAACAUACAGAGAUGUAAGGAAGCUUGAGAAAAAAAAACGCAGAAGAGUCAGCAGUACACAUGAAUGAGGUCAAAAAUUGCAGACAAUUAGCUACUAGAUAACUCCUACUAAAUAAAUCAUCAAAGACCUGACUGCUGCUUCCAGGUUUCCACAACAGUAUUGGCUCAUUGAAGAAGCCAAAAACUGCUUAAGAUGUUAAUUUGGCCAAAGUUUUAGGAAUCUGCUGUUCUUGUUUGAAUUCACUGAUCAACCAACAAGGCCAAGGCUGUAAAGCGGGGGGCCUUCAUGUUUCUAAAGAAGAUAGUAUAUUUAUUGCUCAGGAUCAAAGGCCAUAUGAUAUGGGAAAUGAGCUUCUUUGUGUGAAAUGAGAGCAGUAUGGAAAAGAAAAGCAACCUAAACAUGUCAUGGACUCUCACAUCUUAUUUCACUCAGUAAAGCACUUUGCUUGUCCAAUUUAAUAGAGAAGCAAAAUUUCCUUUCCUGUAUGCUUCCAGUGAUCAGGUCUAGCACUGAUCUCAUUUAGAGCUUAAUCCAAGACCCAAAGUAAAGGGAAAAUAUUCUCACUGCUUCCAGUUGGCAUCUGGUCAGUCUUGCACGGUGGUUUUACUUAAAUGUAUAAACAGUUCUGAGCUUCUCCC
ensembl:lncRNA